UUCAUUUUGUGAUCGCCUUUGAAUUUACUCAGAAGCCCCUGUGGUGCUUAAACUCCAAACUGGCUUAUCACUAGCUAACAGUGUCAAUACUAAUAGUUAGCGGUAACUUCUGCUACAUUUUUUAAUCAGUUUAGCAUUAUAAAAGUUAACUUUUCAGUUAGUGGAUUAGCCGUUAUCAAAGCUAACUUUUCGGUGAGCUGUGCCCACCACUGCCUAUAGCUGCCCACACUUUUGCUUCUCUUUGUAAGACUCUCAAUGGCCCAAAAAGGCCUUACAGGUCCCAGAGUAAAGCCACCUUGACACUUACAUGAAUUUAAUCUCUGCAGUGCUGCGCAAUUCGUCGUGCCAGUGCGACCCACUAUAUUAAAAUAAAAUAAUC